UUAAAAGGAGAAAAAAGUAGUCUAUUCUUUUAAAAAAAUUUAGGCUUAUUUUCUUAUAAAAUGUCAAUUCUUCGUUUGUAAUUUAGUGAAGAAACAAAAUUUCUUAUUUAAAUAUAAGCAAGAGAGAGAGACUAAAUAGAGGGGGAAAGACUACUUGGUGGUUCGAAUGUGACUCGGAGGGCAAGGGAAAGAGUAUGACUAGCAGGGCAAGGGAAAGAGAAUUGGUGCCAGGCAUGGCAUAACAUAUCUCCAGGAAAGUUCGAGAGGCCAAGCUAGAACCUUGGUGAUCAGGU